AACUGUAGCAUUGCGCUCGAAACUACACGGCUAGAGUAUUGGAGAGGUGAGUGGAAUUCCAGGUGUAGCGGUGAAAUGCGUAGAUAUCUGGAGGAACACCAACGGCGAAGGCAGCUCACUGGACAAUGACUGACGCUGAGGGACGAAAGCGUGGGGAGCGAAAGGGAUUAGAUACCCCUGUAGUCCACGCCGUAAACUUUGUGCACUCGCUAUUGGCGGAUUCGACCCCGUCAGUGGCCAAGCUAACGCGAUAAGUGCACCGCCUGAGGACUACGGCCGCAAGGCUAAAACUCAAAGGAAUUGACGGGUCCCCGCACAAGCGGUGGAGCAUGUGGCUUAAUUCGAUGCAACGCGAAGAACCUUACCAGGUCUUGACAUGUAGCGGACCGGGGCAGAGAUGCCCCUUCUCUUCGGAGCCGCUUCACAGGUGCUGCAUGGCUGUCGUCAGCUCGUGUCGUGAGAUGUUCGGUUAAGUCCGUCAACGAGCGCAACCCCUGUCCUUAGUUGCCAGCAUUCAGUUGGGGACUCUAAGGAGACAAUCCCGCUUUUGCGGGAGGGAAGGUGGGGAUGAUGUCAAGUCAGUAUGGCCCUUACGGCCUGGGCUGCACACGUGCUACAGUGCCCGGUACAAUAGGUCGCUACUCCGCGAGGAGAUGCUAAUCCAGAAAGCCGGGCCCAGUUCGGAUUGGAGUGUGCAACUCGACUCCAUGAAGUCGGAAUCGCUAGUAAU
rnacentral:rRNA from 1 species